UACAGAGGAUGCAAGCGUUAUCCGGAAUGAUUGGGCGUAAAGCGUCUGUAGGUGGCUUUUUAAGUCCGCCGUCAAAUCCCAGGGCUCAACUCUGGACAGGCGGUGGAAACUACCAAGCUGGAGUACGGUAGGGGCAGAGGGAAUUUCCGGUGGAGCGGUGAAAUGCGCAGAUAUCAGGAGGAACACCGGUGGCGAAGGCGGGUCUCUGGGCAGUAACCGACGCUGAGGAGCGAAAGCGUGGGGAGCGAACAGG
rnacentral:rRNA from 1 species